rnacentral:rRNA from 1 species
UACGAAGGGGCUAGGCGUUGCUCGGAAUCACUGGGCGUAAAGGGUGCGAGUAGGCGGGUCUUUAAGUUCAGGGGUGAAAUCCUGGAGCUCAACUCCAGAACUGCCUUUGAUACUGAGGAUCUUGAGUACGGGAGAGGUGAGUGGAACUGCGAGUGUAGAGGUGAAAUUCGUAGAUAUUCGCAAGAACACCAGUGGCGAAGGCGGACUCACUGGCCCGUAACUGACGCUGAGGCACGAAAGCGUGGGGAGCAAACAGG